rnacentral:misc_RNA from 1 species
CGGCCCUCGAAAAGGAACCGCCAUUCACAAUAUCGCCCGUUCGCCGAUAAUCGCAAGGAAGACACUAAAAAUGUCAAUAAAUGCAAAGGCCCGGACGAUCCGCCCGGGCCUUUGCGUAAAAACGGCGUGAGACGCCGGAAAAGUCCGCGGCGAACGCUUUAUUCGUCUUCCUCGGGCUGCUCCUCGGGAGGAGCAAGGCCUUCCAGACCC